rnacentral:rRNA from 1 species
UACGAAGGGUGCAAGCGUUGUUCGGAUUUAUUGGGCGUAAAGCGCGCGCAGGCGGACGAAUAAGUCAGAUGUGAAAUCUCGGGGCUCAACCCCGAACGUGCGUCUGAAACUGUUCGUCUAGAAUCUUGGAGAGGGUAGGGGAAUUUCUCAUGUAGGGGUAAAAUCCGUAGAGAUGAGAAGGAACACCAGAGGCGAAGGCGCCUACCUGGCCAAGUAUUGACGCUGAGGCGCGAAAGCGUGGGGAGCAAACAGG